rnacentral:rRNA from 1 species
GUGGGGAAUCUUGGACAAUGGGCGCAAGCCUGAUCCAGCCAUGCCGCGUGAGUGAAGAAGGCCUUAGGGUUGUAAAACUCUUUCGCCGGAGAAGAUAAUGACGGUAUCCGGAGAAGAAGCCCCGGCUAACUUCGUGCCAGCAGCCGCGGUAAUACGAAGGGGGCUAGCGUUGUUCGGAAUUACUGGGCGUAAAGCGCACGUAGGCGGGUUUGUAAGUAGGGGGUGAAAUCCCUGGGCUCAACCCAGGAACUGCCUUCUAGACUGCAAGCCUGGAGGUCAGGAGAGGCGAGUGGAAUUCCGAGUGUAGAGGUGAAAUUCGUAGAUAUUCGGAGGAACACCAGUGGCGAAGGCGACUCGCUGGACUGAUACUGACGCUGAGGUGCGAAAGCGUGGGGAGCAAA